GGUACUGAUCAAUGACAUAAUAACUGAGGCCUUUGUUUACUUGGUACUGAUCAGUAACGGCAAUAGACCCGACUUCAUUCGUAUGCUACAUUCUGCAUUUUUUCUCUCCUUCUAGUCUAGCCUGGUAAGAGGGAGAGAUUAGAGGGGAAAAAGAGAGUAGGUGGUAGAAAGAGUAGAGAGAGAAUGCUGGGCAGGAAUAGGUUCCUCUCGCUGCCCACGGUGUUCGUUGCAGCUGUGAUUGGAGUGAUUUCUGGAAAGGUCAUUUUUGGACCACCACUAGAUGAGUACUGGGGGAAGAAGCUUCGGGAAGAAGCUGAGAAGGAGAAAUCUGCAGGAUCGACUUAAUGCAAAAGGACUUUGCUCAGAGAGAGAGAGAGAGAGAGAGAUGAUACAAAGAAGCUGCCACUAGAGUUACUACUGACAAGUAGGAGAGAGGGAGAGCUUUCAGACUCUGAAGCUGCUGCAGAGUAACCCCUGGCAAGUAAGGGACCAGCUCUCUUUAUGGUAUUGAACUUAAAUUCUGUGCCUGAGAUUAUGAUACUUGCAUUGAGAUGAGUGUCCUGAGUUAUGACCUUGUUCACCUUGAUGCGCUUCCCAUGUUUUAUCUAAAAUAAGGAUCUGCUUUUGGCCCGAGUCUAUGGGUCUGGUUUUGCUGAGGCUGCAUCCCAUCCAAGAGGGAAACCAGGGCUCUGAUUCCCGGUUUUCUUCUCUAGCAUUUGUCUCCCUUUUUUUUUUCUUCUUUUUUUUUUUCUCUCUCUCUCUCGGAAGAAUGUCCCCGGCUGUUGAACAAUAAUUUUUUUCGAGAUAUCUAAUUCUAAUGAAAUAAUCAACCCU